GAUCAUGGCUCAGGAUGAACGCUGGCGGCGUGCCUAAUACAUGCAAGUCGAACGGAGUGGAGGGAGCUUGCUCCCAAUACUUAGUGGCGAACGGGUGAGUAACACGUAGGUAACCUGCCCUUUAGCUUGGGAUACCCAGAGGAAACUUUGGCUAAUACCGGAUAACAACAACCGAGGCAUCUCGGAUGCUUGAAAGGCCCUUUCGGGUCACUAAAGGAUGGACCUGCGGCGCAUUAGCUAGUUGGUGAGAUAAUAGCCCACCAAGGCGAGGAUGCGUAGCCGAACUGAGAGGUUGAUCGGCCACAUUGGAACUGAGACACGGUCCAAACUCCUACGGGAGGCAGCAGUAAGGAGUUUUCGGCAAUGGGGGAAACCCUGACCGAGCAACGCCGCGUGAGUGAUGACGGCCCUAUGGGUUGUAAAGCUCUGUUGUAAGGGAAGAACUGUGAGGAUAGGAAAUGAUCCCCACUUGACGGUACCUUACCAGAAAGCCACGGCUAACUACGUGCCAGCAGCCGC
rnacentral:rRNA from 1 species